rnacentral:rRNA from 1 species
UAGGGAAUCUUCCACAAUGGACGAAAGUCUGAUGGAGCAACGCCGCGUGAGUGAAGAAGGGUUUCGGCUCGUAAAGCUCUGUUGUUAAAGAAGAACGUGGGUAAGAGUAACUGUUUACCCAGUGACGGUAUUUAACCAGAAAGCCACGGCUAACUACGUGCCAA